rnacentral:lncRNA from 1 species
UUGACAGAAGCCCUGUCGCUCUAUGAAGAACAGCUUGGGCGCCUGUAUUGUCCUGUGGAGUUCUCGAAGGAGAUCGUCUGUGUUCCUUCAUACUUGGAAUUGUGGGUAUUUUACACUGUUUGGAAGAAAGCUAAACCUUGAAGAUGAACAUCCCCUAAUCAUGCGUGCUGCAAAUAGCUUUCCUGACCUCCAUAUGCCGUAUAUGACAUCAAAAUGAGUCAGGCAAUUGAUUGUGAAUUCCUUCAAGUUUUCUCUUUUUAAUAAUUAUUUUUAAUUUAAAAAAAAACGAUGGAAAAUGUAUAUUUUGAGCUCUAGGGCGUUAAUUUUUAGAAAGUCAGCUGGAAGACAAUUAGAUAGCACAGCAAAAACUACGAAAUGCACUGACCCCCUAGAAUGUGAUUUUUGUUACUUUUUGUUUCUACGUGGCUUUAUUUUUGUUGUUGUUUAGUUUUGCUUUGGUUUUGAUAGACCUUCAAUUUGGACGUUUGGAGGAAUGAACAUCAUUGUUUUAUUCUGGAGGGAAGUUCUUGAUGGUGUUUCUUUCCCACAAAAUUGACUUAGUUAUUCAAAUUUGGUGCUUAUAAGAGUUAAAAAAUGAAUAGCAAUGCUUCAAUUAAAAUUACAAAAGAAACAUUUUAUGUGUUCUGUUGUUUUAUUUCAGCCUAGUUCUUAUUUCUAACCUCUGAUGGCCUAAAACAAAGGUAUAUCCUGAACUAUUUUUAGUUCUGUUAUAGUACUCCAUGCUAUUUAUCUCUUUAUAAUAGGAAGGCCUCUGGGCCUUUUUUGAUCAGUAGUAAUGACUUCAUUUACCACUGUGGUAAAUGAUACACAGCCUAUUACUUUCACCACUUCUGCAUUAUAAAGUUGACCUGAGGAUAGCAAAAGAUUUUGCUUGACUAUAAAGUUGAAAGCCAAAACCUUAUUUUUGUUCCCACUCUUACCAGUCUAUUAGAUGUGGAAAUAGAGAUCUUUUUGGAUAGCUGCUAUGAAACUUUGAGAAGACUGUAGGAUGUGCAGAUACACAAUAGCAUUUUUGGAGAGGCCUGGCGAAGAAAAAGAACAACUUGAGAAGUUGUUCUUUUUGUUGCAUGCAUCAACUUGGUAUUGUAUUGUAUGGUGGGUAACAGUGCAUAUCAAAGGUGGGCUUAUGUUGCCUUUGAUUGUUAGACAUCCCUGGGUUAUCCUGUUGUUUCUAUAAGAAGUUUAUAUUUUAUUAGUGGAAUCAGUUCAUGGUGAAAUGGCAAUAAGCAAAACAUUUAAAACGAAAUAUUUCAUGAGAUAGAAUUAGGGUCAGCAUGGAACAUUCUUCAUCCCAAGGUAGGAACAAAUGGUAGAAUAUACAACAAAUGGUCUUUAAAUAUGAUUGUAGGCAUACUUGUUUUUCUUUUUAAUUGGGUUUGCACAGAAGAAACAAUAAGGUAGAAUAAAAAGUAAAGAGAAUCACA